GAAUCCCGAUAUCCUUCUGAAAAGAGCUUGUGGUUGGAGUUUCUCUGAACCAGACCGAACUGGCAUUUCCUCCCAUUCCAAGUCUCCUUCUCUGCCUCCUACACACUUUUCUUAGGGAUUCUAGUCCACUGUCCUCCGUGGGCCCUUUUCAGUCUCAUUGGUAACGACACAAGACUGAGUGAUUAGAGAGAAUUCAGAAAGACACCAGCUCCUCUCGGUCAUCUCACUGAACAAACGCUGGCUCGUUCCACGUAUGUUCUUUCUCAGAUCUCCAGGGUGGGGAGGCUGCGACAACUGAAGACAGACCCACACUGGGAGCUACACAGCAGAUUAUUCAUCCAGGAAAAGAAAUGGAAUUCUAACCCAUGUUAUAACACAGAUAAACCUCGGAAACAUUAUGCGAAGUGAGGGAAGUUGGCUUGUCCCUUGGCUCCAGAGACAGUUCACCUGCUCCAGGCCGAACUCAACAGACCAUUCCUGCCUGCUCGGCACCUGCUGUGGUUCAGGGCUGGCCAUGUGAUGGCCACUGCUCCAAUCAGGGUGAAUCUGCAGGCCUCUUAUUAGGAAUUCUCUCACAAAUUCCUUUCUCUUCUGGAUGGUGCAGAAGGCAGGCGUGAGGGCCAGGACUGUUACAAUUUCUUCACUCCCUUAGGAGACACAUGUCAACACGUAGGAGAGAUUAAGGCUAAGAAAACCAGAGAGGAAUGGAGAGCUCUGAUGAAGUUAUGACUCGAGGAAGUCACAAGCCAUCCUACCUCUGGGGUUUUCUGUUUACUGAGCUAAUAUAUUCCCCUUAUUAUUGCAAACAAAAAGUUUUAAGUGGUUAAAGCAAGGCUCAUUUUUCUGCACUGCUCUCCACCCUACUAUCCCUCAUUCUAUCCAAACAGAUCUGCUUUCUGUUUCAGAAUACUGCUGAGCUUCUUCUGAGCAAAUUGGUCUCACCAAUGCAUUCUCUCUCCCUGGAUUAUUUAUUUGACACCCUGCCUGCUAUCAUUUCCCUACUUUGCUUGCCCUGGUUAAUUCUCAAUCAUCCUUAACAGUGAUGAAACAUCAUUUCUCCAAGAAAGCCUUUCUAGAUCCCCCGGUCUGGGUCAAGUUCUCCUACUAGGGACACCCAUAAUGUCAUAUAUCUUUCCUCUAUAAGACUUGUCACUAUGAUAAUCCAAUCAUUGUUUCAUUAGUUGACUGACAUCUAUCACCCACAUUUGUCUAUCCCCACUGCCUCACGUAGAGCCUUGUCCAUAACAGUAAUAGGAAAUAAAUAUCAGUUAAACAAAUGAUCACCUUUUAGCUGCCAAGGCUAAUUGUUAAGGAGUUGGUGUGGACCCCCAGUAAAAACAAAACAAAAACACUUUAUAAGCAAACCAACAGUUGAAAAGAGACGGCUUAAGAUGUGAACAAGCUGGGGCACCUGGGUGGCUCAGUGGUUGAGCAUCUGCCUUUGGCUCAGGGCAUGAUCCUGGGUGCUGGUAUCAAGUCCCACAUCAGGCUCCCCACAAGGAGCCUGCUU